CAGCCCCGCGGUAAUACGUAGGGUGCGAGCGUUAAUCGGAUUUACUGGGCGUAAAGCGUGCGCAGGCGGCCCGUUAAGACAGGUGUGAAAUCCCUGGGCUCAACCUAGGAAUUGCGCUUGUGACUGGCGGGCUCGAGUACGGUAGAGGGGGGUGGAAUUCCUGGUGUAGCAGUGAAAUGCGUAGAGAUCAGGAGGAACACCGAUGGCGAAGGCAGCCCCCUGGGCCUGUACUGACGCUCAUGCACGAAAGCGUGGGGAGCAAACAGGAUUAGAUACCCUGGUAGUCCACGCCCUAAACGAUGGGUACUAGCCGUUUGGUGCGCGAGAGCGCUGAGUGGCGAAGCUAACGCGUGAAGUACCCCGCCUGGGGAGUACGGCCGCAAGGUUGAAACUUAAAGGAAUUGGCGGG
rnacentral:rRNA from 1 species